rnacentral:rRNA from 1 species
GGAUUAGUACCUCAUAGUAGAUAUUGUUCCGCAUUGCACUACUAUUAAAGUCACGACGGUAAAAGAUGAGCACGCGUCCAGUACCUGUGCGCUGAUGUAACUGCUUGCCGAGGUUACGAUGGCUACUUGUUGGAUAGGCAUAUCCGCCAGAGUGGUCUGAAACCCGGAUCAGACUCUAACGGGAGGCAGCAGUGAGGAAUAUUGGACAAUGGGCGCAAGCCUGAUCCAGCCAUGCCGCGUGCAGGAUGACGGUCCUAUGGAUUGUAAACUGCUUUUAUACGAGAAGAAACACUGCUUCGUGAAGCAGCUUGACGGUAUCGUAAGAAUAAGGAUCGGCUAACUCCGUGCCAGCAGCCGCGGUAAUACGGAGGAUCCAAGCGUUAUCCGGAAUCAUUGGGUUUAAAGGGUCCGUAGGCGGUUUAAUAAGUCAGUGGUGAAAGCCCAUCGCUCAACGGUGGAACGGCCAUUGAUACUGUUAGACUUGAAUUAUUAGGAAGUAACUAGAAUAUGUAGUGUAGCGGUGAAAUGCUUAGAGAUUACAUGGAAUACCAAUUGCGAAGGCAGGUUACUACUAAUGGAUUGACGCUGAUGGACGAAAGCGUGGGUAGCGAACAGGAUUAGAUACCCUGGUAGUCCACGCCGUAAACGAUGGAUACUAGCUGUUGGAAGCAAUUUCAGUGGCUAAGCGAAAGUGAUAAGUAUCCC